GAGAGGACGGUAGGCGGCGGAUGGGAGAGCUGGCGCAGCUACCCUGGUGGCGGUGGCUGAAGUGGCGGCGGCUGCGGCGGCUGCAACAGCUUCGGGCUCGGGGUUUUGGCGGCGGCGCCGGCGGGCUGGGCUGCGUGGUGCGGACCCCGGCGCGCGGUCCGGGUUGCUGGGGCGGCGCGUAAGAUGCCUCUAAUGGAGGAAUUUCUGAGCAGCACCCCUGGCCCAGUGGCUUUGAAAGGGAGCUCAAACCAGAGACGAUUUCAAGCCCUGGACAUCAUAUCCUGAGGGCCACAGGAGAAGAGAACAUGGCUGUGAGUUUGGAUGACGACGUGCCACUCAUCCUGACCUUGGACGAGGGUGGCAGUGCCCCACUGGCUCCCUCCAACGGCUUGGGCCAGGAAGAGCUACCUAGUAAAAAUGGCGGCAGCUAUGCCAUCCACGACUCCCAGGCCCCCAGUCUCAGCUCUGAGGGCGGGAGUUCCCCCUCCAGCCCCGCACACAACUGGGAGAUGAAUUACCAAGAGGCAGCAAUCUACCUCCAGGAAGGCGAGAACAAUGACAAGUUCUUCACCCACCCCAAGGAUGCCAAGGCGCUGGCGGCCUACCUCUUUGCACACAAUCACCUCUUCUACCUGAUGGAGCUGGCCACGGCCCUGCUGCUGCUGCUGCUCUCCCUGUGCGAGGCCCCCGCCGUCCCCGCGCUCCGGCUCGGCAUCUACGUCCACGCCACCCUGGAGCUAUUCGCCCUGAUGGUGGUAGUGUUUGAACUCUGCAUGAAGUUACGCUGGCUGGGCCUCCACACCUUCAUCCGGCACAAGCGGACCAUGGUCAAGACCUCGGUGCUGGUGGUGCAGUUUGUCGAGGCCAUCGUGGUGUUGGUACGGCAGAUGUCCCAUGUGCGGGUGACCCGAGCACUACGCUGCAUUUUCCUGGUGGACUGUCGGUAUUGCGGUGGCAUCCGGCGCAACCUGCGGCAGAUCUUCCAGUCCCUGCCGCCCUUCAUGGACAUCCUCCUGCUGCUGCUGUUCUUCAUGAUCAUCUUCGCCAUCCUCGGUUUCUACUUGUUCUCCCCUAACCCUUCAGACCCCUACUUCAGCACCCUGGAGAACAGCAUCGUCAGUCUGUUUGUCCUUCUGACCACAGCCAAUUUCCCAGAUGUGAUGAUGCCCUCCUACUCCCGGAACCCCUGGUCCUGUGUCUUCUUCAUCGUGUACCUCUCCAUCGAGCUGUACUUCAUCAUGAACCUGCUUCUGGCUGUGGUGUUCGACACCUUCAAUGACAUUGAGAAACGCAAGUUCAAGUCGUUGCUACUGCACAAGCGAACCGCCAUCCAGCAUGCCUACCGCCUGCUCGUCAGCCAGAGGAGGCCCGCCGGCAUCUCCUACAGGCAGUUUGAAGGCCUCAUGCGCUUCUACAAGCCCCGGAUGAGUGCCAGGGAGCGCUAUCUUACCUUCAAGGCCCUGAAUCAGAACAACACACCUCUGCUCAGCCUAAAGGACUUUUACGAUAUCUACGAAGUUGCGGCUUUGAAGUGGAAGGCCAAGAAAAACAGAGAGCACUGGUUUGAUGAGCUUCCCAGGACGGCGCUCCUCAUCUUCAAAGGCAUUAAUAUCCUUGUGAAGUCCAAGGCCUUCCAGUAUUUCAUGUACUUGGUGGUGGCAGUCAACGGGGUCUGGAUCCUCGUGGAGACGUUUAUGCUGAAAGGUGGGAACUUCUUCUCCAAGCACGUGCCCUGGAGUUACCUCGUCUUUCUAACUAUCUAUGGGGUGGAGCUGUUCCUGAAGGUCGCCGGCCUGGGCCCUGUGGAGUACUUGUCCUCCGGAUGGAACUUGUUUGACUUCUCCGUGACAGUGUUCGCCUUCCUGGGACUGCUGGCGCUGGCCCUCAACAUGGAGCCCUUCUAUUUCAUCGUGGUCCUGCGCCCCCUCCAGCUGUUGAGGCUGUUUAAGUUGAAAGAGCGCUACCGCAACGUGCUGGACACCAUGUUCGAGCUGCUGCCCCGGAUGGCCAGCCUGGGCCUCACUCUGCUCAUCUUUUACUACUCCUUCGCCAUCGUGGGCAUGGAGUUCUUCUGCGGGAUCGUCUUCCCCAACUGCUGCAAAGUUCUGUCCUCUCUGGAGGUGACCGAUCGCCUUGUGACCCUCCCUCCUUUCUCCCUUGUGCUCCGGCCAGCACGAGUACAGUGGCAGACGCCUACCGCUGGCGCAACCACACCGUGGGCAACAGGACCGUGGUGGAGGAAGGCUACUAUUAUCUCAAUAAUUUUGACAACAUCCUCAACAGCUUUGUGACCCUGUUUGAGCUCACAGUUGUCAACAACUGGUACAUCAUCAUGGAAGGCGUCACCUCUCAGACCUCCCACUGGAGCCGCCUCUACUUCAUGACCUUUUACAUUGUGACCAUGGUGGUGAUGACGAUCAUUGUCGCCUUCAUCCUGGAGGCCUUCGUCUUCCGAAUGAACUACAGCCGCAAGAACCAGGACUCGGAAGUUGAUGGUGGCAUCACCCUUGAGAAGGAAAUCUCCAAAGAAGAGCUGGUUGCUGUCCUGGAGCUCUACCGGGAGGCACAGGGGGCCUCCUCGGACGUCACCCGGCUGCUGGAGACCCUCUCCCAGAUGGAGAGAUACCAGCAACGUUCCAUGGUGUUUCUGGGACGGCGAUCAAGGACCAAGAGCGACUUGAGCCUGAAGAUGUACCAGGAAGAGAUCCAGGAGUGGUACGAGGAGCAUGCCAGGGAGCAGGAGCAGCAGCGACAGCUCAGCAGCAGCGCAGCGCCCGCCACCGAGCAGCCCCCCAGCAGCCGCCAGCGCUCCCAGACUGUUACCUAGCCCAGUGCCCGAAAGCUAUCUCUUCUAUGCAAUAACACAAUAGUAUUACUCUACUGCGAUGUACGGAACUGCGGUGUGUGUACACAUACUCACGUAUAUGCACAUAUUUAUAUACAGGAAGAAAGAAGACAGACAAGAUGGGGCUUGGUUUAUAACCACCUUGCCCUGUUUUCCUUAACUCCAGAAGCCAGUUUGGUGAGGGGUGGGGUGUGGCCACCAGGUCUGAGCUCUUCCUACUGUGGAAGGCUCCAGAAGCCCCUUCACAAGGAAACCCCUCACCUGGAUCCAGUCGACUCUGCGGGGCUUGCCCCCCACGUGGGCUGGCCUCCAUCGGCCAUGUCCAAAGCCGUCACUGCUACUGCUUCAGGCUCACGUCCCCCCGACCUGAUGGCAUCCCCACCCCGUCUCCCUGCCGGCAUGCCACAGGUUUCUGUGUUUUGCUUUUGGGACAGAACCACUUAGGAAGGAAAGAACUCCUGGUCUCCAGGGUGGUAUUUCAGCUUCUGUGAUAAUGUCACGCAACACUCUUCGGGGACCAGUGCCCGGGAUCUAAUGGGAAGCGGAAUUGGGGUGACUGUGCCCAUGUGGCCAGAGCUCAGUUAGCCAGUUCCAGGCGGCCCCAGACUACACUGACCAGUCUCCUCUCUUGGCUCUGCAAGCCUCCCACCCAGCCUUCUCUGGCUUAACCCUUAUUGACAAAAAUCCUUCCACAGUGGCCUCCUUGGGGACCCAGACCCUGGAGGAAGGGGCAUGAGGCAGGAGGUAGGGCCGAUGUCUGUAACCCAGACCACUUCCUGGAAUGGGCUCUUGACCAAAUCCCUUUUUUGUGAUUUACCCAUUCAAGCAAAACAACAUUUUGAUUAAGGAUUGUGCUAAGCUGAUACCAGGUCCUUCACACAUGUGCACUAGGAACAGGAGCAAACAGCACAAGGAGACGCUCCCUGUGGGACGCAGCAGCCCUGUGGCCGUGACCCAGCUCCCAGCCACGCUCCCUGGCUCUGCUCACACCAGAGAUUGCAGUAGCAGGAGCUGUUGGUGCAGAAGUAGGUUCAGAUGAACCCUCAGUUAACGUCACCACCCCCCUCUCCCGCCACAGUACCCACAGAGGCAGGGUCAGUGCAGAGGUUGCUUUGGUUCCGCUUUCCUGGGCCACAGAACAGAGCACAGCACAGGUUCCACAGCAGGAGCUGCAGCGGCAGCAUGGAGGGUGCGGAGGGCAAGGAGUGCGCUGCUGGGCAUUCCCGGCCACCCCGGCCCUCUGGUGCCUGCUUUCUGUGAUUUCAGAAGGAAGGUGGACAGAGGCUCCCUCUGGCCUUGUCCUUUUCCCAGCCACCGAAUGGGCGAGGUGGUACCCAACCCCAGGGGAGCAGUACCUGGACCCCCAACCUCUGCUCACCUCCAAGGCCAAGCUGGAUCCCAUAGCCAGCAUGGCAUGGUUCUCCCCUUCCCCUCUUCCCAGGUCAGGGGAGUUGGAGAAGUGGUGGGUGUUUGUUUUUAAAGCACAGCCCUUUGGGAAAAUCACAAAUUAUUGAGAAUCACUGUGAUUCCCCCGGGAGUCAGACUGGCUUUGUCCUCUUCCUCUCUGGAGGGCCAUGGGCCAUCACCGGGAGCUCCACAUCGAGCCCCAGGCCAGAACCCCUCCCUUUUGCAGAGAGGGAACUUUAUUGCACAAUUGGGUGCCUUUUAGCUUUUGUGUGUUGAAAUGGGCAUUUUGGAAGCAAGGGUCAAGGGACAGCUUCUAAAGUGAGUCUCUGGGCCUCUGAGCAUCUGGGCCUUGCCUCAGCCUUUUCUCCCCAGGGGUGGAAACCUGGAGGGGCCAGCAGCGCCCCAGGGUCUGCCCAGGGGAGUCGAGGCCCCCAGGUAGUAAGGCCUAUUCCAGGAGGAGGGGGAUCUCAGCCCUGUUCAGAGCAAGUUCAUGUGUCCAUCCGCCCAACCCUGUCCUGAGAAAGGACCUGGUUUUGGCCAGGACCCGACAAAUGCCUAAUGGCAGCAGUGUUAGCAGACCAGAGGUGGGCGCCCUUGUCAUUGAGGCCAGGGACAGCUAUCUCCAGGUUAUGCCUGGCCCCACCAAGCAGGGAGUUGGGGUCCCCCCACAGGCUGUGAGCUCUGUGGGCCCUGGGAUGUGAUCUAGCUCAGAUGCCCUCUCGUCCUUGAUGUCACAGUUGAGUGCACCCAAGUGACACUCACUGGCAGCCAGGGGCACAGCCUGGUGGUGGUGGCGGCAAUAGAACCGUGCUCCUCCCCAGCUCCUCGCUUCCCCUCCCACAACCCCAGCCUUACUCCACCAUGCAGACAAUCAUUUUGUACGGAUCACAGGAGCAAUGCUGUACGGUUUUGUACACUGGUGAUUUGUUUCCUAGAAAACCCACUAUGUCUCUGGAUUUCUGGCAUAUUAAUAAAAGAGCCUCUGCUUUGUAAA